rnacentral:lncRNA from 1 species
UUUUUUUCCAGAAGUAGACACACAUUGAAAGACACUUGAACAAGGUCGUUUUGCCGUGCUGCAAAGUCCAACAAGAUUAUCAGCAAAAGCCUUAUCUGAAAUCCUCCCGUGUCAAACAGAAUAUUUCCACUGGCUGGAUGUAAUAGUGAAUGCAGAUCUGGGAUCUAGUCUCAAUCCAAAUCAGAGUGCAGCAAUCAACCACUCAACUCCAGAACUCUCCCUGGUGACACUCACGGGAUUUCAAACUGCAACCUCACAUUGGAAAUUUCUGCAUCCAAUUACCACUUAUCAGAGGCCACCAAUCUCUUAAACUUUAAUGGUUAAAGAAAACUCAAGUGCUUGGUUUACAAAGGCAAUAAACACCUUAAUGCUUUCAUCUUUGUUUUCUCUAGGAAAUUAUUUAAGAAGAAAACCCUUGAACAGUGAUCUCAGCAUUCAUACAGGAGUGAACUUCAGAUACAGUAAUUGCAUAGCUGUGAGCUAUGACGACUUUCCCAUGGGGGAGAAAUGACCUGGUAAUUCAAGAAUGACAAAGUCAAAAGUAAGGGGAUUUUGGAUCAAAUUUAGUGCCAAUGAAGCAUCAAAUUGACUGCACAGAACCAACUGUGGUGGUGGUGAGCUGUCCAAAGGUGCUGAAGGAGCUGACUUGUGUCACCAGGGAACUGCUCCCCAUCAGUGUCCAGAGCUGGAAGUCUGGAGACUGGAAGAGUCAAGUCUUAAAAGGUACAAAUAAAGAUGCAGAAACUUGAGAUCA